GCCAAGACCAAAGAGCUGUCAAAGGACACCAGAAACAAAAUUGUAGACCUGCACCAGGCUGGGAAGACUGAAUCUGCAAUAGUCUAGCCUGAAAGCUGGAAGAUUGCAUUUUGAAUACUUUACUGGAGGAAAGUGUACGCCCGGGGUUCCUCAAGACAGAAACGUCUCUCUCUCAGACGGUGCACCGAGUCGGCCUCAACAAAGCUCCUCCUCGUUGAUCAAGUGUCACAUCCUGUGUGCCUCUGGCUUUGCUCUUCUUCUCUCUCUCUCACUUGCUCUCUCUCCCCGCUGCCGUUUUCUCUAGUGCCACACACAUAAAUACAUAAAAACAUGGUUUCUGGAGUGCCGGGGUGACAGGCGGACCAGGUCGAGA
ensembl:lncRNA